rnacentral:rRNA from 1 species
AGUGAACGCUGGCGGUAGGCCUAACACAUGCAAGUCGAACGGCAGCACAGUAAGAGCUUGCUCUUACGGGUGGCGAGUGGCGGACGGGUGAGGAAUACAUCGGAAUCUACUUUUUCGUGGGGGAUAACGUAGGGAAACUUACGCUAAUACCGCAUACGACCUACGGGUGAAAGCAGGGGAUCUUCAGACCUUGCGCGAUUGAAUGAGCCGAUGUCGGAUUAGUUAGUUGGCGGGGUAAAGGCCCACCAAGGCGACGAUCCGUAGCUGGUCUGAGAGGAUGAUCAGCCACACUGGAACUGAGACACGGUCCAGACUCCUACGGGAGGCAGCAGUGGGGAAUAUUGGACAAUGGGCGAAAGCCUGAUCCAGCCAUACCGCGUGGGUGAAGAAGGCCUUCGGGUUGUAAAGCCCUUUUGUUGGGAAAGAAAAGCAGCAUGUUAAUACCCCGCUGUUCUGACGGUACCCAAAGAAUAAGCACCGGCUAACUUCGUG